CUAAGCUAGCCCACAAAACCCAAACACAAAUACCUUGAACCCACAAAAUAAAACAUUUUAACCAUAAAAGNAUAGGAGAUAGAAAUUUUAAUUGGCGCUAUAGAGAUAGUACCCGAAGGGAAAGAUGAAAGAAAAAAUAAAAGUAAAAAAUAGCAUAGAUUACCCCUACUACCUUUUGCAUAAUGAUUUAACUAGAAACUACUUGACAAAGAGAACUGAAGCCAAACACCCCGAAACCAAACGAGCUACUUCUGAACAGCUAACAGAGCAAACUCAUCUAUGUAGCAAAAUAGUGAGAAGAUUUAGAAGUAGAGGUGAAAAGCCUACCGAGCUUGGUGAUAGCUGGUUAUCCAAACUAGAAUUUUAGUUCGACUUUAAGUUUUCCAAAGAUACUUCCAACUAAAAUGAAAUCUUAAAAUCUAAUUUAAAGGGGGACAGCCCUUUAAAAUAAGGAAACAACCUCAAACAGCGGGUAAACAACCAAUUCACCAUAGUUGGCCUAAAAGCAGCCAUCAAUCAAGAAAGCGUUCAAGCUCAACAAAUUACACAAACCUAAUUCCAAUAUUCAUGCAAUCAACCCCUGUUAAACAAUUGGAUUAAUCUAUAAAAUCAUAGAAGAAACAAUGUUAAUAUUAGUAACAAGAAAUACUUCUCCGAGCACAAGGCUAACACCAAAUCUCACACUUGGUAUUUAACAGCUUGAUAAGACCAGACACCCAUAAAACGUAUUAUCAAUCCUACUGUUAACCCAACAUAGGAGUGCAACCACGGAAAGACUAAAAAAAGCAAAAGGAACUC
rnacentral:rRNA from 1 species